rnacentral:rRNA from 1 species
ACGGGUGAGUAACGCGUGGGAACGUGCCCUUCGGUUCGGAAUAACUCAGGGAAACUUGAGCUAAUACCGGAUACGCCCUUUUGGGGAAAGGCUUGACUGCCGAAGGAUCGGCCCGCGUCUGAUUAGCUAGUUGGUGAGGUUAUGGCUCACCAAGGCGACGAUCAGUAGCUGGUCUGAGAGGAUGAUCAGCCACACUGGGACUGAGACACGGCCCAGACUCCUACGGGAGGCAGCAGUGGGGAAUAUUGGACAAUGGGGGCAACCCUGAUCCAGCCAUGCCGCGUGAGUGAUGACGGCCUUAGGGUUGUAAAGCUCUUUUCUCCGGGACGAUAAUGACGGUACCGGAGGAAUAAGCCCCGGCUAACUUCGUGCCAGCAGCCGCGGUAAUACGAAGGGGGCUAGCGUUGCUCGGAAUCACUGGGCGUAAAGGGCGCGUAGGCGGCUGAUUUAGUCGAGGGUGAAAGCCCGUGGCUCAACCACGGAAUGGCCUUCGAUACUGGUUGGCUUGAGACCGGAAGAGGACAGCGGAACUGCGAGUGUAGAGGUGAAAUUCGUAGA